rnacentral:rRNA from 1 species
AUUGAACGCUGGCGGAAUGCUUUACACAUGCAAGUCGAACGGCAGCACGGGGGCAACCCUGGUGGCGAGUGGCGAACGGGUGAGUAAUACAUCGGAACGUGCCCAGUCGUGGGGGAUAACGUAGCGAAAGUUACGCUAAUACCGCAUACGAUCUACGGAUGAAAGCGGGGGACCGUAAGGCCUCGCGCGAUUGGAGCGGCCGAUGUCAGAUUAGGUAGUUGGUGAGGUAAAGGCUCACCAAGCCGACGGUCUGUAGCUGGUCUGAGAGGACGACCAGCGACACUAGGACGGAGACAGGGCCCAGACUCCUACGGGAGGCAGCGGUGGGGAAUUUUGGACAAUGGGCGCAAGCCUGAUCCAGCCAUUCCGCGUGCAGGACGAAGGCCUUCGGGUUGUAAACUGCUUUUGUACGGAACGAAAAGGCUCUGGUUAAUACCUGGGGCUCAUGACGGUACCGUAAGAAUAAGCACCGGCUAACUACGUGCCAGCCGCCGCGGUAA